GACGUAGGAUCCGAGCGUUGCCCGGAAUUACUGGGUGUAAAGGGCGUGUAGGCGGGUCUCUAAGUCGAUGGUGAAAUCCUGCAGCUCAACUGUAGAAUUGCCGUCGAUACUGGAGGUCUUGAGUGCGGCAGAGGGGGGCGGAAUUGAUGGUGUAGCGGUGAAAUGUGUAGAUAUCAUGAAGAACACCGGUGGCGAAGGCGGUCUCCUGGCCCGCUACUGACGCUGAGGCGCGAAAGCGUGGGGAGCAAACAGG
rnacentral:rRNA from 1 species